rnacentral:rRNA from 1 species
AGUGAACGCUGGCGGUAGGCCUAACACAUGCAAGUCGAACGGCAGCACAGUAAGAGCUUGCUCUUACGGGUGGCGAGUGGCGGACGGGUGAGGAAUACAUCGGAAUCUACUUUUUCGUGGGGGAUAACGUAGGGACACUUACGCUAAUACCGCAUACGACCUACGGGUGAAAGCAGGGGAUCUUCGGACCUUGCGCGAUUGAAUGAGCCGAUGUCGGAUUAGCUAGUUGGCGGGGUAAUGGCCCACCAAGGCGACGAUCCGUAGCUGGUCUGAGAGGAUGAGCAGCCACACUAGAACUGAGACACGGUCCAGACUCCUACGGGAGGCAGCAGUGGGGAAUAUUGGACAAUGGGCGCAAGCCUGAUCCAGCCAUACCGCGUGGGUGAAGAAGGCCUUCGGGUUGUAAAGCCCUUUUGUUGGGAAAGAAAAGCAGCAGGGUAAUACCCCGCUGUUCUGACGGUACCCAAAGAAUAAGCACCGGCUAACUACGUG